GAUGAACGCUGGCGGCGUGCCUAAUACAUGCAAGUCGAGCGAACGGACGAGAAGCUUGCUUCUCUGAUGUUAGCGGCGGACGGGUGAGUAACACGUGGAUAACCUACCUAUAAGACUGGGAUAACUUCGGGAAACCGGAGCUAAUACCGGAUAAUAUUUUGAACCGCAUGGUUCAAAAGUGAAAGACGGCCUUGCUGUCACUAAUAGAUGGAUCCGCGCUGCAUUAGCUAGUUGGUAAGGUAACGGCUUACCAAGGCAACGAUGCAUAGCCGACCUGAGAGGGUGAUCGGCCACACUGGAACUGAGACACGGUCCAGACUCCUACGGGAGGCAGCAGUAGGGAAUCUUCCGCAAUGGGCGAAAGCCUGACGGAGCAACGCCGCGUGAGUGAUGAAGGUCUUCGGAUCGUAAAACUCUGUUAUUAGGGAAGAACAUAUGUGUAAGUAACUGUGCACAUCUUGACGGUACCUAAUCAGAAAGCCACGGCUAACUACGUG
rnacentral:rRNA from 1 species